CACGUAGGCACCAAGCGUUGUCCGGAUUUAUUGGGCGUAAAGAGCUCGUAGGCGGUUCAGUAAGUCGGGUGUGAAAACUUUGGGCUUAACCCAAAGCGUGCAUCCGAUACUGCUGUGACUUGAGUUCGGUAGGGGAGUGGGGAAUUCCUAGUGUAGCGGUGAAAUGCGCAGAUAUUAGGAAGAACACCCGUGGCUAAGGCGGCUCUCUAGUACGGUACUGACGCUGAGACGCGAAAGCGUGGGGAGCGAACAGG
rnacentral:rRNA from 1 species